AAUAAGUCCAGUCAUGAGUUUCCGCUCCCAACUUUAAUCGUCCGUCUUAUUUAAAAUUUUUUUAUAAUUAACAUUUUUGUUGUUAUAAAAUGCUAAAACAUAAAUAAUACUUUACUUGUGACUAAUGUUUUUAAUUUUUUUUCAAAAUUUUUUCAAAUAAGACAAAUAGUUAAAGUUGGGCGCGAAAAACCAUCGCUGCACUUAUU
rfam:Oryza glumipatula chromosome 7, whole genome shotgun sequence.